AACGAACGCUGGCGGCGCGUUUUAAGCAUGCAAGUCGAACGGCAAGGAGAGUAGCAAUACUUUCCCUAGAGUGGCGAACGGGUGAGUAACACGUAGGUGAUCUACCCCUGGAUGGGGGAUAGUCCGUGGAAACACGGGGUAAUACCGCAUGAGGCCUUGGGGGUAAAGCCCUGAGGUGAAAGCUCCAACUGGAGCGUCUGGGGAUGAGCCUGCGGCCCAUUAGGCAGUUGGCGGGGUAAAGGCCCACCAAACCGACGAUGGGUAGCCGGCCUGAGAGGGUGUACGGCCACACUGGAACUGAGACACGGUCCAGACUCCUACGGGAGGCAGCAGCUAAGAAUCUUCCGCAAUGGGGGAAACCCUGACGGAGCGACGCCGCGUGGACGAUGAAGGCCGUAAGGUUGUAAAGUCCUUUUGCGGGCGAAGAAUAAGGCGGGGAGUGGUAAGCCCCGCUGAUGACGUUAGCCCGCGAAUAAGCCCCGGCCAAUUACGUGCCAGCAGCCGCCGUAAAAC
rnacentral:rRNA from 1 species